AAAUCCGGUUUACGCUGUUAAAUAGGAGACGUUAGAACCACUUGAAAACUAAAAAGAACACCAAGAAAGGGCCCACACCUCCCAAAAGAGACCCUCUACAAAUACGUGUAUAGCGGUUACAAUCAAAAUGAACAAACGAUACAACCACAAUCAGUGUCAUGAUGCUUUUCGCUGUCGCUCUCGUUGUUGUUGUUGUUUACAUUCCUUUUUGGUUUUGUUUAUACUAGUAUUGCUGUUGUUUUUGUUGUUUACUUGCCAAAAUGUAACUCAGCUAAACCGCAGUUUAUGCGUGUUCCACUUGUUUUGCGUGUUAUUUUAUGUUUUCCGCCACAUUUUUUACGUGCAGUAGUGCUCGCUGUUUUGCUUGUCAUUCGCUAAGCAUGCGAAAUGGCGCAGAACUACACGCACACACACACACACAUCUAAAUUUAAUGUGCUUGUAGCCUUUUUAUUCUAUUUUAUGUGCAUGUGUAUGUGCGCUCUGUGCUAUGUACAAAUAACGCAGAUGCUUUGAGUAGUAACACUUUAAUAUCGUGUAACGUUUCGCCAUAACCACAAGCUAAAAUAACGCGCCCACACAGCAAUAUACAUAUAAAUACAUAAGUAUGUAUUUACAAUUACUGAACGCAAUGUGCGUAAUGACAGCAAACGCAACAUUUUACAUGAUUCAUGAAGCAUGCUCAGGGAUAUUAAUUUAUAUGAGAACUGCUAGCCUCCCCUCUUUCGAUAGAGGCACUCAAUCUCUCUGUCUCUCUCUCUCUUGAUUUACAUAAGACUUUCAUAGUAUAUGUUUCGAUAUGUUAUAUUAUACUACUAUGAGCAAAACAUAUGAAGACUUUAUUCCGAAGUCCUCCUCCAACAUUUCCAGAAAUUUGAUUCCGCACACGAAAUUUAAUGGCACUACUUUGUUGAAUAAUUUCACUCAUAUUAAAAAUGGUCGAAUGCACUUUCUUUCACUCCCCAAGCGACAUCGCUUCACUCUAUGGGAUCUUGAAGAGUUCCAAGAAGAUCCGACGUUUUCGACCCAAUUGUUCAGCGAUGAGGGCUGGCCAGUUCCGGCUCAAUGGUGUAUAUAAUCAGGCACAAUUUACGCGCAGAGCAAUCUGAUGAGAUUCAAGACGGUCAAUGGUGACCAUUAUAGCGCCAUGUUACCGACUAUUUGAUCCCCGAAAUCGAAGCUCGCGAUCUCAACGACAUUUGGUGUCAAGAAGACGGCGCCACAUCCCGCAAAUUGCCUUAAACAAUGGAUUUAUUGAGAGAAAACUUCGGUGAGCAGAUUAUUUCACAUUUUGAGCCGUUCGAUUGGCCAACAAGAUCACUUGAUAUCAUACUGUUAGACUUUUUGCUGUGGGGAUAUGAAAAGUCUAAACUCUAUGCGAAGAAUCCCGCUUCGGUUCAGGUCUUGAAGCAAAGCAUCAGGCGUGUCAUUCGCCAGUUACCAGACGAAGUGCUCGAACAAGUCAUCGAAAAUUGGACACAACGGAUGGAUCAUCUGAGACGUUGCCGCGGCCAACAUUUGAAAUAUAUGAUCUUAAAAAAAUAAUGAUCUUUCCAAUGAUAAUAAACAUUCGCUAUUAAAUUUGAAGUUUCUGCAUUUUUUCCUUAAAUAGCAGGGAACCUCGAAAUGCAUCACCCUUUACUUACUUCAAAUACGUUUUCACAAUGAGCAUCUAUUAAGUUAAUGACUUUGAUAAUGGUUAAAUUACACGGAAAAACCUUGACGAAAUGGGUUAGUCACUUUCAUCGCCGAUAGUUGUAAUUUCUGGUUUUUCACUUCACACCUCGCCGAAGAUGGCGCCGGACUUGUUUGCUGUUGGUGUGCUCUGUUAUUAUAAACUCCUGCGUUUGCUUCACUUCACCGACUUGUAUUACAAUGCAACUUUAAAGCGUCUUGAGUUUCAACCUCGAUAUUCCCGGUUACGGCGAGUCAUACUUAAAAUUUAUUAUUCGAUUUUCGGCAUUUACGCAACAUAUUUCAUAACUAUACUUUUGUUAGUCGUAAUCAGUUUAACGGAGGAACCAGAUAUAUAUACAACACUUGAAGUGGUGAGCGUAGCAUACGUAACCCUUGUAUUAUCGAUGUAUAUGGCGACUUUUCUUAUAAUCUCACACCAAAUACGCAAGAAAAAGACGCAAAAGUUUUUGAAACAGUUUUUUAACAAACUUUUUGAAAUGCAUCAAAAUAUCUUACGGCUGACCGGACAACAUGUAGUUAUGGAGAUACCCACAGCCUUACUGCUGAUGGUAAAAUUAAUAUUCAUUGUUUGGAUUUUAUUCGCAUCUUGGCAGAUAACCAGCUAUGUGAGAAAUUUAGCAGCUUUUCCCAUUUUCGAACUCGCCUUUAUUGCAAACUAUUUAGUCAUUGCCAGAUUGUUGAAACUCCAGCAAGAGUUAAGCAAAUGGAUUGAAAAUCACGAGGCUCAAUACAGUUUCAAAUUUCAAUGCACAGCGGCAUGCAAAACGAGCAACUACCCGAUUCUAAAGGCAAUCUCUUUGUGGAGUCAAUCGUGUAAAAUAACAGCAAACUUUCUGAAUCAGUUCAUUUGGUAUGAAAAACUGGUUCUACUCGAAAAUAUAUUCUGCAUUUAUUUGUCCCAUCAAUUCAUUGUGUGCAUAUUUUUUAAACAAUAUUAUCAUGGAGCUCUGCUGCCAGAUGCUCUAAACCACACUUUCAAUAUGCUCCUCAUUGGCAUGGUUAAUGAUUCGUUGAAGUAUGAGGAAGAUUCUCUCAACAACACAAUGACGGCAUUGGUCGCCAAAUUGACACACCAAACACGGUUGUGCAAGAGCUGUAGAGAUCUUCAAAGAGCGAUCGAUAUUUGCUUCUGUUGCCGAAAUGUGCGUUCCAAUGGCAUCUAUAUUUUCGGGAGUUUCUGGACCAGAGGUUACGUAAUCGAUAUUAUUCAAAGCUUAGUAUUAUUGGGAGUUAGUAUCACGCAAUUUGAUACACAGGGAACGUACAAUUGUAACUUUGACCCUGAAUAUUUGGACACAUUUGAAGCGCUCUAAUGCACCAGGACAUGACAGGCACAUGAAAGAGGACAAUUGAGGCCACAUGAUGAAACUAACCGUGGAAGAUGAAUGGCGGAAAGGAAAUAAAUUGUAUAGUGAAAACAGUAAAACUUGAAGAAAUAGUAAAAAAUGGCCGGCAGCAGCUAAUACAAACAGUUUUACAAAAUAAGACCAACCUUUAUGGCAACGCAGAGGACUGCAUAUGACAGUUCAAGUGCAAUCUUUGGAGCAGCCAUCAAACUUAACCUAACCUAACACUUUACAUUUAUCCCCCGCAGACAUAGUUAUAUGCGUCCACAUGCUUGCAGCAAUUUCGAUAUUAAAAACGCACGAAAAAGUAAAUUAUCAAAUCGAUUGCAAAGAAAAUAAAAUACGUACGCUAUUUGCAAAUGCAGCAUGCAUGUCGAAGCUUUAAGCUCGCCCGCAUUUGUGGCUGCUAGCAGCUGUAGACAUAACCAUAUAAGUCUAACC